CCAUUGCUAAUAUUGACUCUAGCUGCUUCAGCAUAAACUGUGCUUUCUUUCAUCUCUUGAUUACUGUACUCUGAAUCAUGAUUUUUUUGACUGAUCUUGAAAUAACAGGCUGAAAUAAUUAUAGAUUGGUGCAGUGCUGAUCUGUUAUACAACCAUUUUGUCUGUGCUGCAGGCUGUGCAGGACCACCUGUGCUGUGCUGCUCUGGUCAAAACAACUCCUGUUUCAGGACCUGUUACUGUGAUGAGCACUGCACAAAUGUUGGAGACUGCUGUGAUGACUACAACACAACCUGCACACAACCGUCUACUCUUGCAACGCCAGGAGGACCCACCAGAAGCAGCAGUGCUGGGCUGACAUCUACACCAGCAACUUCAGCAACAACAGUCUUGUCAGCAGCAUCACCCAGUGCAACAUCUGCAGUGCUGAAUGUGAACACAACCUUAGCAUCUACAGUCUCUGGAACUGCAGCCACUGGCCAUAUCAGCAACAGCAUGUCUAUACCGGCAGAUAACAGCACAUCCUCAUCAGUCUCAGUGACAACAGGACCACGCACAACAAACAGCAAUACUUCCAGUACCAACAAAACAUUAGCAUCGACAGUCUCUGGUACCACAAAACCCAGCACGACUGGCAGCACUGUGACAUCUACACUGGCAAGUAUUUCCACAACUUCAUCAUCAGCAGUCUCGGCAACAGCACCCAAUACAACAUCUGCAGUGUUGAAUGUGAGCUCAACCUCGGUCUCUACAUUCACUGCUACUACAGCAACCAGCCAAACAAGCAGCAGUAUAUCUACACAAACAGAUAACAGCACAACUAACACCAAUACUAACUCAACACCAGCAGAUAUUAGAACAAAUUCAUCAUCCGCAGUCUCACCAAUAACGGUAACCAGUAGAGCAUCUGCAGGAUCAAAUGUGAGCAACACCUCAGCCUCCACGGUCUCUACAGCAACCAGUCAAACAAGGAUCAGUACAUCUACACUAAUAGAUAACAACAAAACUUUAUCAGCUACUGGAACAACAACAACAAACACCACAAACAGCAAUACUACCACUACGCAAGCAGAUAUCAGAGCAACUUCAAUAUCCACAGCAUCUGAAACAACACAGCCAAGCACAACAAACAGUAAUAUAUCUACACCAGUAGAUGUCAGCACAGCAUCAACUACAAUCUCUACUACUCCAGCACCCUCCCCAAUAAACAGCACUACUACCACGACGCAAGCAGAUGGAAGCACAACUUCAUCAUCGCCAGUCUCUCUUACUACGGUGCCCACACAAUCUACAUCAACCAGUACAAGCCCAUCUUUGUCGUCCACGCUCUCUUCAACGACACCGCCCAGUAUGACCAGCAGCAGAACAGCAGCAGUAGAUGAGAGCACAACCUCAACUACAGCAUCUACCAAAGAAAGCAUCAGUUCUACAUCUAAACCAUUAGAUGGCCUCACAACUUCAGCACCCACAGCUCCAGCAGGAACAACACUGGCAGAAACAAGUACAACUCUGGAUGCCAGUAGUGUCACGUCUUCACCAGCAGAUGGAAGCAAAUCUGGAGCUUUGAAGAAAAACACAGAUUCCAGGACCACCACCAGCUCAGAUGGCCAAACACUGACUGUUCACCUAAAGGUUUCUGUCUUAACCAGUAACAAGGACAAGACUGCGCUGCUGGAAGCUUUAUCUAAUUUUGUAUCCCAGAAACUACUCCAGGACUGUGAUGGCUGCACUGCGAUUAUUAGAAGCAUCAACCUGAGAAACGGAGAAAAGUAA
rnacentral:lncRNA from 1 species